rnacentral:rRNA from 1 species
UACGAGGGGGGCUAGCGUUGCUCGGAAUUACUGGGCGUAAAGCGCACGUAGGCGGAUCCUUAAGUCGGUGGUGAAAUCCUGAAGCUCAACUUCAGAACUGCCUUCGAUACUGGGGACCUUGAGUUCGGGAGAGGUGAGUGGAACUGCGAGUGUAGAGGUGAAAUUCGUAGAUAUUCGCAAGAACACCAGUGGCGAAGGCGGCUCACUGGCCCGAUACUGACGCUGAGGUGCGAAAGCGUGGGGAGCAAACAGG